GACGGUAGCCAAGGAGGAAGCCCCGGCUAACUACGUGCCAGCAGCCGCGGUAAUACGUAGGGGGCGAGCGUUGUCCGGAUUUACUGGGCGUAAAGGGUGAGUAGGCGGUAAUAUGUGUCAGAUGUAAAAGGCUAAAGCUUAACCAUAGUUAGCAUUUGAAACUGUAUUACUUGAGUGCAGGAGAGGUAAGUGGAAUUCCUAGUGUAGCGGUGAAAUGCGUAGAUAUUAGGAGGAACACCAGUGGCGAAGGCGACUUACUGGACUGUAACUGACGCUGAGUCACGAAAGCGUGGGUAGCAAACAGGAUUAGAUACCCUGGUAGUCCACGCUGUAAACGAUGAGUGCUAGGUGUUGGGUAGCGAUACUCAGUGCCGAAGUAAACACAAUAAGCACUCCGCCUGGGGAGUACGGUCGCAAGACUGAAACUCAAAGGAAUUGACGGGGACCCGCACAAGCAGCGGAGCAUGUGGUUUAAUUCGAAGCAACGCGAAGAACCUUACCAAGGCUUGACAUCCCCUUGACCGGCACAGAGAUGUGCCCUCUCCUUCGGGAGCAAGGGUGACAGGUGGUGCAUGGUUGUCGUCAGCUCGUGUCGUGAGAUGUUGGGUUAAGUCCCGCAACGAGCGCAACCCUUAUCAUUAGUUGCCAGCAUUUAAGGUGGGCACUCUAAUGAGACUGCCGAUGAUAAAUCGGAGGAAGGUGGGGAUGACGUCAAAUCAUCAUGCCCCUUAUGUCUUGGGCUACACACGUGCUACAAUGGUCGGUACAAAGGGCAGCGAAGGAGCGAUCUGGAGCAAAUCCCAAUAAACCGAUCUCAGUUCGGAUUGUAGGCUGCAACUCGCCUAC
rnacentral:rRNA from 1 species